rnacentral:rRNA from 1 species
CCUACGGGUGGCAGCAGUGAGGAAUAUUGGUCAAUGGGCGCGAGCCUGAACCAGCCAAGUAGCGUGAAGGAUGACUGCCCUACGGGUUGUAAACUUCUUUUAUAAAGGAAUAAAGUGAGGCACGUGUGCCUUUUUGUAUGUACUUUAUGAAUAAGGAUCGGCUAACUCCGUGCCAGCAGCCGCGGUAAUACGGGGGAUCCAAGCGUUAUCCGGAUUUAUUGGGUUUAAAGGGUGCGUAGGCGGACUGUUAAGUCAGCGGUAAAAGGCCGGGGCUCAACCCCGGCGCGCCGUUGAAACUUGCUGUCUUGAGAGGGCGAGAGGUAUGCGGAAGGCGCGGUGUAGCGGUGAAAUGCUUAGAUAUUGCGCAGAACUCCGAUUGCGAAGGCAGCAUACCGGCGGCUAUCUGACGCUGAGGCACGAAAGCGUGGGUAGCGAACAGGAUUAGAUACCCGGGUAGUC